rnacentral:rRNA from 1 species
ACGCUCGACACCUACGGGAGGCAGCAGUGGGGAAUAUUGCACAAUGGGGGAAACCCUGAUGCAGCGACGCCGCGUGAGCGAAGAAGUAUUUCGGUAUGUAAAGCUCUAUCAGCAGGGAAGAUCAUGACGGUACCUGACUAAGAAGCUCCGGCUAAAUACGUGCCGGCAGCCGCGGUAAUCUGAGCGGGCUGGCAAGGC